AUUGAACGCUGGCGGCAGGCUUAACACAUGCAAGUUGAGCGGAGAUGAGGUGCUUGCACCUUAUCUUAGCGGCGGACGGGUGAGUAAUGCUUAGGAAUCUGCCUAUUAGUGGGGGACAACAUUCCGAAAGGAAUGCUAAUAGCGCAUACGUCCUACGGGAGAAAGCAGGGGAUCUUCGGACCUUGCGCUAAUAGAUGAGCCUAAGUCGGAUUAGCUAGCUGGUGGGGUACAGGCCUACCAAGGCGACGAUCUGUAGCGGGUCUGAGAGGAUGAUCCGCCACACUGAGACGGAGACACGGCCCCGACGCUGGCCGGAGGACGCAGUGGGGUAUAUUAGACAAUGGGGGGAACCCAGAUCCAGCCAUGGCGCAUGUGUGAAGAAGGCCUUAUUGUUUUAAAGAAUUUUAAGCGAUGAGGAGGCAACUGAGCCUAAUACUCUUGGAUAGUGGACGUUACUCGCAGAAUAAGCACCGGCUAACUCUGUGCCAGCCGCCGCCGUAAGAC
rnacentral:rRNA from 1 species